GAAUUACUGGGCGUAACGCGCACGUAUGCGGCUUUGUAAGUUAGAGGUGAUAGCCUGGAGCUCAACUCCAGAAUUGCCUUUAAGACUGCAUCGCUUGAAUCCAGGAGAGGUGAGUGGAAUUCCGAGUGUAGAGGUGAAAUUCGUAGAUAUUCGGAAGAACACCAGUGGCGAAGGCGUCUCACUGGACUGGUAUUGACGCUGAGGUGCGAAAGCGUGGGGAGCAAACAGGAUUAAUACCCUGGUA
rnacentral:rRNA from 1 species